CAGCUUCAGUUUGGCUGUUUCCCUCAUGGUGAUUCAGGACAAAGAAGAGCGAGAAGACGAAGAAAACGGGCCACAAAAGCAGAAGGAAAGAAGUUGGAGCCAGACACUUGGGAGAAGGCCGACAGGAAGAAGGAGAAUCACCCUUCAUAUGUUUUCUGAUCAAAUUCUCUGAGAUGGAUUCUUGGCUUCCAGUCGAGGCACUGCAAGAGUGAACACAACUGGCUCCAGGAACUGCACAACGAGCAGAAAAUUGUUCAAAGACAACACAGUGCUGGAGCCCUGAGGUAGA